UAGGGAAUCUUCGGCAAUGGACGAAAGUCUGACCGAGCAACGCCGCAUGAGUGAAGAAGGUUUUCGGAUCGUAAAACUCUGUUGUUAGAGAAGAACAAGGACGUUAGUAACUGAACGUCCCCUGACGGUAUCUAACCAGAAAGCCACGGCUAACUACGUGCCAGCAGCCGCGGUAAUACGUAGGUGGCAAGCGUUGUCCGGAUUUAUUGGGCGUAAAGCGAGCGCAGGCGGUUUGUUAAGUCAGAUGUGAAAUCCCCGGGCUCAACCUGGGAACUGCAUCUGAUACUGGCAAGCUUGAGUCUCGUAGAGGGGGGUAGAAUUCCAGGUGUAGCGGUGAAAUGCGUAGAGAUCUGGAGGAAUACCGGUGGCGAAGGCGGCCCCCUGGACGAAGACUGACGCUCAGGUGCGAAAGCGUGGGGAGCAAACAGG
rnacentral:rRNA from 1 species